ACACUAUCAUUAACUGAAUCCAUAGGUUAAUGAGGCGAACCGGGGGAACUGAAACAUCUAAGUACCCCGAGGAAAAGAAAUCAACCGAGAUUCCCCCAGUAGCGGCGAGCGAACGGGGAGGAGCCCAGAGCCUGAAUCAGUGUGUGUGUUAGUGGAAGCGUCUGGAAAGGCGCGCGAUACAGGGUGACAGCCCCGUACACAAAAAUGCACAUGCUGUGAGCUCGAUGAGUAGGGCGGGACACGUGGUAUCCUGUCUGAAUAUGGGGGGACCAUCCUCCAAGGCUAAAUACUCCUGACUGACCGAUAGUGAACCAGUACCGUGAGGGAAAGGCGAAAAGAACCCCGGCGAGGGGAGUGAAAAAGAACCUGAAACCGUGUACGUACAAGCAGUGGGAGCACAGAGCAAUCUGUGUGACUGCGUACCUUUUGUAUAAUGGGUCAGCGACUUAUAUUCUGUAGCAAGGUUAACCGAAUAGGGGAGCCGAAGGGAAACCGAGUCUUAACUGGGCGUUAAGUUGCAGGGUAUAGACCCGAAACCCGGUGAUCUAGCCAUGGGCAGGUUGAAGGUUGGGUAACACUAACUGGAGGACCGAACCGACUAAUGUUGAAAAAUUAGCGGAUGACUUGUGGCUGGGGGUGAAAGGCCAAUCAAACCGGGAGAUAGCUGGUUCUCCCCGAAAGCUAUUUAGGUAGCGCCUCGUGAAUUCAUCUCCGGGGGUAGAGCACUGUUUCGGCAAGGGGGUCAUCCCGACUUACCAACCCGAUGCAAACUGCGAAUACCGGAGAAUGUUAUCACGGGAGACACACGGCGGGUGCUAACGUCCGUCGUGAAGAGGGAAACAACCCAGACCGCCAGCUAAGGUCCCAAAGUCAUGGUUAAGUGGGAAACGAUGUGGGAAGGCCCAGACAGCCAGGAUGUUGGCUUAGAAGCAGCCAUCAUUUAAAGAAAGCGUAAUAGCUCACUGGUCGAGUCGGCCUGCGCGGAAGAUGUAACGGGGCUAAACCAUGCACCGAAGCUGCGGCAGCGACACUGUGUGUUGUUGGGUAGGGGAGCGUUCUGUAAGCCUGUGAAGGUGUGCUGUGAGGCAUGCUGGAGGUAUCAGAAGUGCGAAUGCUGACAUAAGUAACGAUAAAGCGGGUGAAAAGCCCGCUCGCCGGAAGACCAAGGGUUCCUGUCCAACGUUAAUCGGGGCAGGGUGAGUCGACCCCUAAGGCGAGGCCGAAAGGCGUAGUCGAUGGGAAACAGGUUAAUAUUCCUGUACUUGGUGUUACUGCGAAGGGGGGACGGAGAAGGCUAUGUUGGCCGGGCACGGUUGUCCCGGUUUAAGCGUGUAGGCUGGUUUUCCAGGCAAAUCCGGAAAAUCAAGGCUGAGGCGUGAUGACGAGGCACUACGGUGCUGAAGCAACAAAUGCCCUGCUUCCAGGAAAAGCCUCUAAGCAUCAGGUAACAUCAAAUCGUACCCCAAACCGACACAGGUGGUCAGGUAGAGAAUACCAAGGCGCUUGAGAGAACUCGGGUGAAGGAACUAGGCAAAAUGGUGCCGUAACUUCGGGAGAAGGCACGCUGAUAUGUAGGUGAAGUCCCUCGCGGAUGGAGCUGAAAUCAGUCGAAGAUACCAGCUGGCUGCAACUGUUUAUUAAAAACACAGCACUGUGCAAACACGAAAGUGGACGUAUACGGUGUGACGCCUGCCCGGUGCCGGAAGGUUAAUUGAUGGGGUCAGCGCAAGCGAAGCUCUUGAUCGAAGCCCCGGUAAACGGCGGCCGUAACUAUAACGGUCCUAAGGUAGCGAAAUUCCUUGUCGGGUAAGUUCCGACCUGCACGAAUGGCGUAAUGAUGGCCAGGCUGUCUCCACCCGAGACUCAGUGAAAUUGAACUCGCUGUGAAGAUGCAGUGUACCCGCGGCAAGACGGAAAGACCCCGUGAACCUUUACUAUAGCUUGACACUGAACAUUGAGCCUUGAUGUGUAGGAUAGGUGGGAGGCUUUGAAGUGUGGACGCCAGUCUGCAUGGAGCCGACCUUGAAAUACCACCCUUUAAUGUUUGAUGUUCUAACGUGGACCCGUGAUCCGGGUUGCGGACAGUGUCUGGUGGGUAGUUUGACUGGGGCGGUCUCCUCCUAAAGAGUAACGGAGGAGCACGAAGGUUGGCUAAUCCUGGUCGGACAUCAGGAGGUUAGUGCAAUGGCAUAAGCCAGCUUGACUGCGAGCGUGACGGCGCGAGCAGGUGCGAAAGCAGGUCAUAGUGAUCCGGUGGUUCUGAAUGGAAGGGCCAUCGCUCAACGGAUAAAAGGUACUCCGGGGAUAACAGGCUGAUACCGCCCAAGAGUUCAUAUCGACGGCGGUGUUUGGCACCUCGAUGUCGGCUCAUCACAUCCUGGGGCUGAAGUAGGUCCCAAGGGUAUGGCUGUUCGCCAUUUAAAGUGGUACGCGAGCUGGGUUUAGAACGUCGUGAGACAGUUCGGUCCCUAUCUGCCGUGGGCGCUGGAGAACUGAGGGGGGCUGCUCCUAGUACGAGAGGACCGGAGUGGACGCAUCACUGGUGUUCGGGUUGUCAUGCCAAUGGCACUGCCCGGUAGCUAAAUGCGGAAGAGAUAAGUGCUGAAAGCAUCUAAGCACGAAACUUGCCCCGAGAUGAGUUCUCCCUGACCCUUUAAGGGUCCUGAAGGAACGUUGAAGACGACGACGUUGAUAGGCCGGGUGUGUAAGCGCAGCGAUGCGUUGAGCUAACCGGUACUAAUGAACCGUGAGGCUUAACCUU
rnacentral:rRNA from 1 species